rnacentral:misc_RNA from 1 species
GAAAUGCGAUAAGUAAUGUGAAUUGCAGAAUUCAGUGAAUCAUCGAAUCUUUGAACGCACCUUGCGCUCCUUGGUAUUCCUUGGAGCAUGCCUGUUUGAGUAUCAUGAAAUCUUCAAAGUAAAUCUUUUGUUAACUCAAUUGGUUUCUACUUUGGUAUUGGAGGUCUUUGCAGCUUCACACCUGCUCCUCUUUGUUCAUUAGCUGGAUCUCAGUGUUAUGCUUGGUUCCACUCGGCGUGAUAAGUUAUCUAUCGCUGAGGACACUGUAAAAGCUGGCCAAGGUAAAUGCAGAUGAACCGCUUCUAAUAGUCCAUUGACUUGGACAAUACUUUUAUGAUCUGAUCUCAAAUCAGGUAGGACUACCCGCUGAACUUAAGC